GCCCAAAUGGCGGAAUUGGUAGACGCGCUAGCUUCAGGUGCUAGUACUCGUUGGGGUGUGUAGGUUCGAGUCCUAUUUUGGGCACCA
rnacentral:tRNA from 1 species